ACUUCAUGAAGCUGGAAUUGCUAGUAAUGGCAGGUCAGCAUACUGCCGUGAAUACGUUCCCGGGCCUUGUACACACCGCCCGUCACACCAUGAGAGUUGGGAAUACCCGAAGCCUGUGAGCUAACUGUAAAGAGGCAGCAGUCGAAGGUAGAAUCAAUGAUUGGGGUGAAGUCGUAACAAGGUACC
rnacentral:rRNA from 1 species